rnacentral:lncRNA from 1 species
GGGGCUAAGUGCAAUUAUGUCGGCGGCCUUGCUGCGGCGGGGCUUGGAGCUUUUGGGGGUUCCCGAAGCCCCCGAGGCCGCGCCAGGCCAGACUAAGCCUAGCCAGGCUCCAAAGAAACGGACCCGGAAGGCAAAGGCGACCCAGGCCCAGAAACUGCGGAACUCGGCCAAGGGAAAGGUUCCCAAGUCGGCACUGGCCGAGUUCCAGAAGCGAGAGCACCAAGGUUACCUUGGAGUGAACCUGAGGUUUAUGACCAGCGCAAGAAGCACAGUGUCUGAAUCCGUCACCAGGCAGAUUGUGCGUCAGAACCGGGGCCGCAAGGCCUGUGACCGGCCUGUAACCAAGAAGAAGAAGAAGAAAAAGGCCGAGGGCACGGUGUUCACCGAGGAAGACUUCCAGAAGUUCCAGCAGGAGUAUUUCGGCAGCUAGGCUCCCAGAGGGCCCGCCUUUCUCCCCUCACCACAGCCUCUGCGGCUCAGGGCCUGCAGGGGAGGCGGGAGCGGCAGGGCUGGAGCUGGCCUGGACCUGUGCCCACAUCCCAACAUUGCUCCGGAGGGUCACCUCCUUGCUGGGAAGGAACAUUCCUGACUGUUCUGUUUGCUUUGGCCCAAGGAGGGCCUCUGGGCUGUUUGCCGUGGAGGGCCCAUCCCUGGGCCCCCAGGGACCACACCUCUGCCAGGAGGCGGGCUAGAUGGGCUUCCGGCUUCUAAUAAAUGUGGCCCAGCGGCUGUGAGCGCUGCCCUGACCUACAGGGUGUCUCCUGCGCCCCUGGUGCCAAGGAGCCUUCNNNNNNNNNNNNNNNNNNNNNNNNNNNCCACCCCACCCCACCCCUGCCACCCAGAUCGGUUCCGAGAGUCCAGGUCCGAAGUCCUCCAGCCCCGUGCAGGCACCACCUCCCCUCAGGCCACCUCCCAUGGGGGUGGCAGCCACAGCUGAGAUGGUAGCUCUUGAGGCAAAAAUAGCGCCCACAGCUGCCAGAGGCUUUGUGCCAGGGAUGUGGACGCCAGCGUCCAGGCGGGGAGUAGCGUGCCCUCUAAGCACCAGGAGUGGGGGCAGAGGGGUCAAGGGCCUCUUGUUUCCCCUCUUAGCUCAGUCACGUGAGGUGGGGCUCGUGGGGCGACUCAGAAGGCGACCUCUAGAAAUGGGGUUUCACAGCGGGUGUGUGCUGAGCAGAAAGGUGGUGCUGGGCCCGGAGCUGCACCACGAAAAGGCAGAGGCUGGACUGUCCGGCAGGUGUGCGGGACAGACACACCAGGGAGUGGCUAGGUGCUGCUGCCCAAUUGGACUCGAGUGUGGCAUUGACCACAGGGCCGGGAAGCCCAGGAGUCCCUCCUGUGGAGGGCUUGGGGCCUCGUGGAGACAAGGCCCUGGGUGCCUUGGGGCAGCUCCAUCCCCCACCCCGCACCUUAGAGGGCUCAGGAUGUUUUCUGGUAAAGGACUUCGGAAGGGCCCCUGUGGCUGGGGAGCGACCUGCCACGAGUUCUUUUGGGCCAGAGGAGAGAUCUCGGGGUGCCCUCCUUUCCAUCCUAAGUGGGGACAGGAGGGUUCCCUGAGGCAGAGGUGGAGCAGGGCCUGUCUGCAGGUGUCGGAGUAGGUCGCAGACCGGGAGGUCAGGUGGGCAGAAGGGCUUGUUCCAGGCCGGGGAAGGCCAAGGUUUCCCGGGCCCUCCAUGCCCUCCCCUGCUGAGCUGCAAUGACCCCAGUGGGGAGAGACACUCAGGUGUCCUUGGAGACAUGUUCCCAUCCCCUUUUAAUUAGCUUAGCAAGCUGCAGGCUCAGAGGCUCGCUCUCUCGCUCCCUGGGAGUUUGCUUCAGAGACUGGGCUGACCAGGGCCCUUCUGUGGCUGUUACAACAAUCACGAUCAGGUUCCUGUCCCCUCCCCAGGCCUAGAGGGAGGGGCCUGCCUCCUGGGGGAGGGGGAGAGCAGGGCUUCUGCUCCUCUGCUUGUGAGUGUCCAGUAAGUCUUAUGUCCCAUUUGUGCCAGGGACACUGCUUGGGUGUGUGUUCGUGCCCCCUUCUCGUGCAUAGUGUUAGCGCUCGCCCAAGAGUCUGGUCCUGUAGGUCGGGUGGGACUUGAACCCUGGACAGUAGGGUGCAGGUGGUCGGGAGGCGGGUGCUGGCACUGUCCGGCAGGGACUGCUGACCCUGAGCUCCAGGACCUGGGGACGGACAGGUCUGCUGGGAAAGGAAGGGACAGGAACCAGGCAAGAGGCCACUCCGUUGCCACAUUGAGGCCAGGGCUAAAAGAGCCUGCUGGGCUACACCCCACAGGCCUGCAAGCCCUGUACCUGCCCAGCCUCGAAACCCAAGACAGAGCCAGAGGCAGUGACAGAGACACAAAGGGUCCUGGGGUGACAGCCCACCACGCGUGGCAACCAGUGAGCCGGGGCGGGGCAGCACUCCUCACCACUGUUACAGGAGUGGUUGCAUCAGGGGGGCUCCACAGUUACCAGGGGCUAGUUAAGCCUUGUAAUUAAGAGGACUGGAUGGUCUCGUGCGUGGAGCAGGAGGUGUACACAGAGCAGGAAAACAGCGGUCUUUCACCCCCGCGGCAUAUGGAGGUUCCCAGCCUAGGGGGUGAAUCGGAGCUACGGCUGCUGCCUACACCACAGCCACAGGUCCUUAACCCACUGAGCAGGGCCAGGUAUUGAGCUCACAUUCUAAUGGAUACUAAUUGGGCUCUUAACCCACUGAGCCAUAACGGGAACUCUGAAAACAGCUGUCUCGAGUGCCCUAACUGUUCAGACCU